AGAGUUUGAUCCUGGCUCAGGACGAACGCUGGCGGCGUGCUUAACACAUGCAAGUCGAACGGUAAGGCCCUUCGGGGUACACGAGUGGCGAACGGGUGAGUAACACGUGGGUGAUCUGCCCUGCACUUCGGGAUAAGCCCGGGAAACUGGGUCUAAUACCGGAUAGUACUGCGCGGUGCAUGCCGUGUGGUGGAAAGAUUUAUCGGUGCAGGAUGGGCCCGCGGCCUAUCAGCUUGUUGGUGGGGUAAUGGCCUACCAAGGCGACGACGGGUAGCCGGCCUGAGAGGGCGACCGGCCACACUGGGACUGAGACACGGCCCAGACUCCUACGGGAAGCAGCAGUGGGGAAUAUUGCACAAUGGGCGCAAGCCUGAUGCAGCGACGCCGCGUGAGGGAUGACGGCCUUCGGGUUGUAAACCUCUUUCAGCAGGGACGAAGCGCAAGUGACGGUACCUGCAGAAGAAGCACCGGCCAACUACGUG
rnacentral:rRNA from 1 species